rnacentral:rRNA from 2 species
GGUGAGUGAUGAAGGUUUUCGGAUCGUAAAGCUCUGUUGUUAGGGAAGAACAAGUGCCGUUCAAAUAGGGCGGCACCUUGACGGUACCUAACCAGAAAGCCACGGCUAACUACGUGCCAGCAGCCGCGGUAAUACGUAGGUGGCAAGCGUUGUCCGGAAUUAUUGGGCGUAAAGGGCUCGCAGGCGGUUUCUUAAGUCUGAUGUGAAAGCCCCCGGCUCAACCGGGGAGGGUCAUUGGAAACUGGGGAACUUGAGUGCAGAAGAGGAGAGUGGAAUUCCACGUGUAGCGGUGAAAUGCGUAGAGAUGUGGAGGAACACCAGUGGCGAAGGCGACUCUCUGGUCUGUAACUGACGCUGAGGAGCGAAAGCGUGGGGAGCGAACAGGAUUAGAUACCCUGGUAGUCCACGCCGUAAACGAUGAGUGCUAAGUGUUAGGGGGUUUCCGCCCCUUAGUGCUGCAGCUAACGCAUUAAGCACUCCGCCUGGGGAGUACGGUCGCAAGACUGAAACUCAAAGGAAUUGACGGGGGCCCGCACAAGCGGUGGAGCAUGUGGUUUAAUUCGAAGCAACGCGAAGAACCUUACCAGGUCUUGACAUCCUCUGACAAUCCUAGAGAUAGGACGUCCCC